rnacentral:rRNA from 1 species
GACGGACGCGGCGGCGUGCCUAACACAUGCAAGUCAAAGGAAAGCGGCUCGGCCGGGAGUACUGGCGCAAGGGUGAGUAAAGUAUAGGUAAUCUGCCCUUUGGACUGGGAUAACCCCCGAGAAAUCGGGGACAAUACCAGAUGAUGCAGCGGAACCGCAUGGUUAUGUUGUUAAAGAUUUAUCGCCAAAGGAUGAACCUAUAUCCCAUCAGGUAGUUGGUAAGGUAACGGCUUACCAAGCCUACGACGGGUAGCUGGUUUGAGAGGAUGAUCAGCCACAUGGAACUGAGACACGGUCCAGACUCCUACGGGAGGCAGCAGUGAGGAAUAUUGCGCAAUGGGCGAAAGCCUGACGCAGCAACGCCGCGUGGAUGAUGAAGUUUUUCGGAAUGUAAAGUCCUUUUGUAGAGGAAGAAUAUCUUGGUUUACCAGGACUGACGGUACUUACGAAUAAGCCACGGGUAACUUGCGUG